GGUGGAGCAGCACGGUAGCUCGUCGGGCUCAUAACCCGAAGGUCGCAGGUUCAAAUCCUGUCC
rnacentral:tRNA from 4 species